AUUGAACGCUGGCGGCAGGCCUAACACAUGCAAGUCGAGCGGUAGCACAGAGAGCUUGCUCUCGGGUGACGAGCGGCGGACGGGUGAGUAAUGUCUGGGAAACUGCCUGAUGGAGGGGGAUAACUACUGGAAACGGUAGCUAAUACCGCAUAACGUCGCAAGACCAAAGUGGGGGACCUUCGUGCCUCAUGCCAUCAGAUGUGCCCAGAUGGGAUUAGCUAGUAGGUGGGGUAACGGCUCACCUAGGCGACGAUCCCUAGCUGGUCUGAGAGGAUGACCAGCCACACUGGAACUGAGACACGGUCCAGACUCCUACGGGAGGCAGCAGUGGGGAAUAUUGCACAAUGGGCGCAAGCCUGAUGCAGCCAUGCCGCGUGCGUGAAGAAGGCCUUCGGGUUGUAAAGCACUUUCAGCGGGGAGGAAGGCGUUAAGGUUAAUAACCUUGGCGAUUGACGUUACCCGCAGAAGAAGCACCGGCUAACUCCGUGCCAGCAGCCGCGGUAAUACGGAGGGUGCAAGCGUUAAUCGGAAUUACUGGGCGUAAAGCGCACGCAGGCGGUCUGUCAAGUCGGAUGUGAAAUCCCCGGGCUCAACCUGGGAACUGCAUUCGAAACUGGCAGGCUAGAGUCUUGUAGAGGGGGGUAGAAUUCCAGGUGUAGCGGUGAAAUGCGUAGAGAUCUGGAGGAAUACCGGUGGCGAAGGCGGCCCCCUGGACAAAGACUGACGCUCAGGUGCGAAAGCGUGGGGAGCAAACAGGAUUAGAUACCCUGGUAGUCCACGCCGUAAACGAUGUCGAUUUGGAGGUUGUGCCCUUGAGGCGUGGCUUCCGGAGCUAACGCGUUAAAUCGACCGCCUGGGGAGUACGGCCGCAAGGUUAAAACUCAAAUGAAUUGACGGGGGCCCGCACAAGCGGUGGAGCAUGUGGUCUAAUUCGAUGCAACGCGAAGAACCUUACCUGGUCUUGACAUCCACAGAACUUAGCAGAGAUGCUUUGGUGCCUUCGGGAACUGUGAGACAGGUGCUGCAUGGCUGUCGUCAGCUCGUGUUGUGAAAUGUUGGGUUAAGUCCCGCAACGAGCGCAACCCUUAUCCUUUGUUGCCAGCGGUCCGGCCGGGAACUCAAAGGAGACUGCCAGUGAUAAACUGGAGGAAGGUGGGGAUGACGUCAAGUCAUCAUGGCCCUUACGACCAGGGCUACACACGUGCUACAAUGGCAUAUACAAAGAGAAGCGACCUCGCGAGAGCAAGCGGACCUCAUAAAGUAUGUCGUAGUCCGGAUUGGAGUCUGCAACUCGACUCCAUGAAGUCGGAAUCGCUAGUAAUCGUAGAUCAGAAUGCUACGGUGAAUACGUUCCCGGGCCU
rnacentral:rRNA from 1 species